UAAAUUCAAUUGUUUUAUUUUAAGUGAUAGACUCGGUGUUGAUAACGUAAUAGUACUUCUCCUUCGCAAUAAACAAAGAAAAAAGUUUUUAUCGGAAUCCAUCCAAUUUCUUUGAUUCAAAUGAGUGUUUUGGCUUCUUCAAUCAUUUUGUGAAAGAAAUAUUUGGAUGUCAGGUGCGGUUGAUCGAUAAGCAAGGCCAUGCAUUAGGUACUAAUAUCCUUGGUGGGAAGAGAAGGAGAUAGUCUCAGAGGAGAGGAAGGCGAAAGGGCUGUGUCCUCUGACGCUAAACGAGGCGGCGUCAGUUCUAAAAGCACCAGGAUUCAAUAAAAGUUGAUAUACAUUGCAGUUGGUGAGGUUUAUGGGUGCGAGCAUACAUUGUCUGUCCUAAGAGAAGCAUUCCCGAAUCGUCAGUCUACCAGUUAUGGUUUUCCUAACGAGUGGUUGGUCGCGUCUUUUAUUAUAUGUGCAAUUUUUCUUUUCUUUUUGCUCUCACAUGUGAAACUUAUAGGUAAUGAAAUGCUAAGCAGUAGGCAGAGUUGCAACAGUUUCAGAACCAUACGUCUCAAAUGACUGCUCUAGAUUUCAUGGUGUUUGUGGAUUACAACACUUUUAUUCCCAUGUAUGAUGGAAACAUGGCAAAAGCAGUGGAAGGCCCUAAGAUGUAUCUUGGGUUAGGAAAACAAUUAUGUUUGAUCGCAAGAGGCUCUUGCAGGUACUAGACUUAUAUCACAACAAGAACAUGGGAUCAGUUUGCAAUAGCUGUCAUGGAAGCCCACGAGAGAAGAACAUGAGCACCAACACAUCAAAGAGUAAUUUCAUAUAAACUUAAGAAGGAAGAAUACUUUUAUGCAAACCCUUGGGAAUGUCUUUGUGAAGGUACAAAUUGCCACAAUAUAUUUGGUCAUAGAAAUUCCAGUUUAAAUGUUGCAAGUCAUGUUUUAGUACAUUAUCUCAUUGCCCUGAAAGAGGACGAGAUGAAAAGAAACUGCGUAUAGUUCAUUCCUUGAGUUUUUUUUC